CAAGGUUGGAGUAAUGGCAGGCUGGAGCUGAAGCCAUUCUAACCUGCAGGCAGUGACUGACUAUUUGUGAAGCUUGCUGGUAAAGGAAACUGAGGCAUCAGGACCCCGAGGCUGUGUACUUCCUGGUGGCGCAUGCGCUCUGCAUAGUGAGAAAUAGAUGCCCCGGGAACUUGGAGAACACUCCAUGAAUGUGUACAGUGUGACACCUCCUGGCUCAGGGCAGUGAUCUAAAAGCAGAGUCAUUCAAGGACAGGUCGUGAACAGCAUGGCAGCCAGCACUUCAUCCACUAAGCCAUCUGCUGAUCCUUUCUACUUGCCAGAGUUUGAAGGUAAGGCCCCAAUUGCCUAACACACCGUACACAUCAGACACUGUACACAUCGAGGAAUGAAGAAGCUGAGCUGCCCUGGGGGCGUCCUUUUGGAGGGAGGGCUUCCACAGUGUUGGAAG
rnacentral:lncRNA from 1 species